UACUGGAGGCAGCAGUGGGGAAUAUUGCGCAAUGGGGGAAACCCUGACGCAGCAACGCCGCGUGGAGGAUGACACUUUUCGGAGCGUAAACUCCUUUUCUUAGGGAAGAAUUCUGACGGUACCUAAGGAAUAAGCACCGGCUAACUCCGUGCCAGCAGCCGCGGUAAUACGGAGGGUGCAAGCGUUACUCGGAAUCACUGGGCGUAAAGGGCGCGUAGGCGGAUUAUCAAGUCUCUUGUGAAAUCUAAUGGCUUAACCAUUAAACUGCUUGGGAAACUGAUAGUCUAGAGUGAGGGAGAGGCAGAUGGAAUUGGUGGUGUAGGGGUAAAAUCCGUAGAUAUCACCAAGAAUACCCAUUGCGAAGGCGAUCUGCUGGAACUCAACUUGACGCUAAGGCGCGAAAGCGUGGAGCAGCA
rnacentral:rRNA from 1 species